AAGAUGGGAUCAUUACCAAUAUGACGGCGGGCUGGAAUCUCUCGGGGUUACAGCCUUGCUGAAUUAUUCACCCUUGUCUUUUGCGUACUUCUUGUUUCCUUGGUGGGUUCGCCCACCACUAGGACAAACAUAAACCUUUUGUAAUUGCAAUCAGCGUCAGUAACAAAUUAAUAAUUACAACUUUCAACAACGGAUCUCUUGGUUCUGGCAUCGAUGAAGAACGCAGCGAAAUGCGAUAAGUAGUGUGAAUUGCAGAAUUCAGUGAAUCAUCGAAUCUUUGAACGCACAUUGCGCCCUUUGGUAUUCCAAAGGGCAUGCCUGUUCAAGCGUCAUUUGUACCCUCAAGCUUUGCUUGGUGUUGGGCGUCUUGUCUCUAGCUUUGCUGGAGACUCGCCUUAAAGUAAAUGGCAGCCGGCCUACUGGUUUCGGAGCGCAGGAAAGUCGCACUCUCUAUCAGCAAAGGUCUAGCAUCCAUUAAGCCUUUUUUCAACUUUUGACCUCGGAUCAGGUACGGAUACCCGCUGAACUUAAGCAUAUCUAUUAAGCGGAGGAA
rnacentral:rRNA from 1 species